GACGAACGCUGGCGGCGUGCUUAAUACAUGCAAGUCGAACGGAAAGGCCCUGCUUUUGUGGGGUGCUCGAGUGGCGAACGGGUGAGUAACACGUGAGUAACCUGCCCUUGACUUUGGGAUAACUUCAGGAAACUGGGGCUAAUACCGGAUAGGAGCUCCUGCUGCAUGGUGGGGGUUGGAAAGUUUGGGCGGUUGGGGAUGGACUCGCGGCUUAUCAGCUUGUUGGUGGGGUAGUGGCUUACCAAGGCUUUGACGGGUAGCCGGCCUGAGAGGGUGACCGGCCACAUUGGGACUGAGAUACGGCCCAGACCCCUACGGGAGGCAGCAGUGGGGAAUAUUGCACAAUGGGCGGAAGCCUGAUGCAGCAACGCCGCGUGCGGGAUGACGGCCUUCGGGUUGUAAACCGCUUUCGCCUGUGACGAAGCGUGAGUGACGGUAAUGGGUAAAGAAGCACCGGCUAACUACGUG
rnacentral:rRNA from 1 species